AGAGUUUGAUUCUGGCUCAGAACGAACGCUGGCGGCGUGUUUAAGACAUGCAAGUCGCACGGGAUCAUUUUGGUAGUAAUACUCGAAUGGUUCAGUGGCGCACGGGUGAGUAACACGUGAAUUACAUGCCCUGUAGAGGGGGAUAGCCCAGGGAAACUUGGAUUAAUACCCCAUAGUCUCGCAAGAGUAAAGGUGGCCGCAAGGCUGUCGCUAUAGGAUUGGUUCGCGCCCUAUCAGCUUGUUGGUGAGGUAACGGCUCACCAAGGCUACGACGGGUACCUGGUCUGAGAGGACGAUCAGGCACACUGGAACUGAGACACGGUCCAGACACCUACGGGUGGCAGCAGUCGAGAAUAAUUCACAAUGGGGGCAACCCUGAUGGUGCAACGCCGCGUGGAGGAUGACGGUCUUCGGAUUGUAAACUCCUGUCAUCUGGGAGUAAGACCUGGUCGUUAAUAGCGGACAGGGUUGAUAGUACCAGAAGAGGAAGGGACGGCUAACUUCGUGCCAGCAGCCGCGGUAAUACGAAGGUCCCGAGCGUUGUUCGGAAUCACUGGGCGUAAAGGGAGCGUAGGCGGCGUGGUAAGUCAGAUGUGAAAUCCCGGGGCUCAACCCCGGAACUGCAUCCGAUACUGCCGUGCUAGAGGAUUGGAGAGGUAGCUGGAAUUCUUGGUGUAGCAGUGAAAUGCGUAGAUAUCAAGAGGAACACUCGUGGCGAAAGCGAGCUACUGGACAACUCCUGACGCUGAGGCUCGAAGGCUAGGGUAGCGAAAGGGAUUAGAUACCCCUGUAGUCCUAGCAGUAAACGGUGCACGCUUGGUGUGAGGGGAAUCGACCCCCCUUGUGCCGGAGCAAACGCGUUAAGCGUGCCGCCUGGGAAGUACGGUCGCAAGACUAAAACUCAAAGAAAUUGACGGGGACCCGCACAAGCGGUGGAGUAUGUGGCUUAAUUCGAUGCAACGCGAAGAACCUUACCAAGGCUUGACAUGGAUUUCUAAGCACGUGAAAGCGUGUGACCCUUCGGGGAACUUCCACAGGUGCUGCAUGGCCGUCGUCAGCUCGUGUCGUGAGAUGUUGGGUUAAGUCCCGCAACGAGCGCAACCCU
rnacentral:rRNA from 1 species